CCCUAAUUUCUUAUCCCAGCCACCAAACCACCUCCAACGAAAUACAUGCUUCAGAAACAGAACAUCAGAGAGGGAGAGUGAGGAGUUAGGGGUGAACCAGGGGAAGGGAAAUCGGAGAAGAGGGAGCCGCGCCUAACCACCGUCCGCUCUGCCGCGCCUCUCGUCACCAUCAGGUCCGUCGUCGCCGUUCGUGGAGCCAUGAGGAGCACCGCCGUCGAAGCCACGCCAAUCGUCACUGCCCAGUCGUCGCUCUGCCUCCCACCAAGCCCGUUCCGCCGCUAACGUCGCCGAAGGGAGAGCGACCACCACGAGGAGCCACCGCCGUCCUCUCUCGUCGUCUUCCUUGGAGCCGUCACCGUCGAGGGGCCAGCAGAGGGAGAGAAAACGAAUGCGAGAGUCAAGGUCACCACCGAGGAGAGGAGCUGUGUUCCACGCUGCUGUCGCCACCAGUCCACGGCCACCACUGCGAGGGUUCCGCCGUCGUCGUUCCAGUGCCGCCAUUCAUGCCCUCCGUUCCCUUCGUCGUUCUAUCCAGCAUCACCAGCACUGAAGUCAGCUUCUACCACCAUCAAGCCUGAAGGGAAGCGCCACUGCUAUUGCCCGACAGUAGUUUCCCCUUUGUUCCCAAUUCCAUUCCUGAAACUUAUUAUCGUCCUUAUCUGGAACCACUGAUGUCACUGCUGUAGAGAUGAUUGGGAUAGGCGCGAUUGUCAUUGUUGUUGCUGCCCCAGAAGAAGUGAGGCUGCUGCUGCUGUUCCGGCCGCAUUGGCUGUUGUAAACUGGGAAAAAGAAAGGGAUCGCUGCGUUUAAAUUUGACGGUUUCGACUAAUUGAGUGACGCAGGUUUGAAGACCCAGUUUGAAGCUGCGGGAGAUUAUAGAAUUUACUUAUGAGUUAAGUUACUUUCAUAGAAGUUCCCUUGCUCUUAUUGCUUAACAUUUUUAUUUUAUACAGAGGGAUAGAAUUUGUAUGUGAGUUUUAUUUGAAAUCUUUUGUAUGACAGAUAUUAUUAUUAAUAAUUAUGUGAUUAUUAUUACUUGGUGAUGCUUGCUAUAUGAUUUGAUAAAUAAAAACAAAAUUUUCUGGUAUUUUUACUAAAACUGGAUCGCAAUAUCGAACUAGAGGCUCAAUAGUAAAUAGUUAAUAAAGGAAAGCAGGUUGGUAACGCCUUACUUUCGGUACGAUCAUGACGUUCUGGAAGUUGGGUCGUUACACCCAGGCCUUUUUCUUCUUCUUCCCCUUUCUAGAAAGUUGAACUAGCAUGGCACGCUAAGGGUCUGGCGUGCCACGCCCAUUAUGUUUGCUUGGUUCCUUCAUUGGCGUGCCAUGCCCAGAACUCAAGUUGCACGCCCAAGUCUUCUGCUUAAUUGAUGAUGCUGGCGUGUCACGCAUGAGGCUCAAGUGGCAUGCCUAAGUGGGAAAUGGUUGAUGGUGUGCCGCGCCUUCGAAACCAAGUGGCACGCUCAUAUGUUUGGCCCUCUACCUCCUUCUUUCGAAAGUUGUACUGGCGUGCCAUGCCCUGGCGUUCAAGUGGCACGCCCAUAUUGGUGUGUCCCUUCAAGUUUGGCGUGCCAUGCUUAGGUCCUCAAGUGGCACGCCCAAGUGUUGGAUCAGAGUUGGCGUGCCACGCCUUCGACAUCAAGUGGCACGCCCAAGUGUUUGGGUCUUCAAUCUCUCUUCUGGAAACUUGUUCUGGCAUGCCACGCCUUGAUGCUGAAGUGGCACGCCCACCUUAAGGUGGUUCUUUUAGCUUGGCGUGCCACGCCUGGGUCUUCAAGUGGCAUGCCUAAGUGAUGGGUUAGAGUUGGUGUGCCAUGCCUUCAUAACAAGUGGCACGCCCAACUUGGCAUGCCAUGCCCCCUUUGUGGCCUUCAACAUUGCUCUCUGAAAAAUGAUACUGGCGUGCCAUGCCCAGCUCCUGGUGUGCCACGCCCAUGUAAAAACUUUGAGGAUCCUUUUUGGAAAUCAUUGCUGGCAUGCCACGCCCUCAUACUGUCAUGGCAUUUGUUCAAAGUGGCACGCCGGUCUCACACGCCUAGCUUUAUUUUGUUUUCUUUCCUUUUUAUUGUUCUUUUCACCUGAAAUUCAGCACAAACCCAUUUCAAAGCAAUGUACCAUAAUAUUCAUCAAUUAGUUUAUGAAUUGUAAUUAUCAAAUGAGAUUAUGCUCUUUUAUGGUCCUUUUUAGAUAAGAAAAAAGGGUAAAAUAUACAAGUCAUCACUUAUCAUCUUGCAACCAGAGAGAGAUGGGAAAAAUAUUCCGAGGGAGAGUGCCUGAUGAGCGGAUAAUUUAUACUCUUUUUGGCACUGUUUUUAGUAUGAUUUUAGUAUGUUUUGGUUAGUUUUUAGUAUGUUUUUAUUAGUUUUUAUUUAAAAUUCACUUUUCUGGGCUUUACUAUCAGCUUGUGUGUUUCUCUGUGAUUUCAGGUAAUUUGUGGCUGAAAUUGAGCGACCUGAGCAAAAAUCUGAUUCAGAGGCUGAAAAAUGACUCCAGAUGCUGUUGGAUUCUGACCUCCCUGCACUCGAAGUGGAUUUUCUGGAGCUGCAGAGGCCCAAUUGGCGCGCUCUCAAUUGCGUUGGAAAGUAGACAUUCUGGGCUUUUCAGCAAUAUAUAAUAGUCCAUAUUUUGCCCGAGAUUUGAUGGCCCAAACCGGCGUUGCAAAUCAGCUUCAAAAUUUCCGGCGUUUAACGCCGGAAUUGGCACAAAAAAUUGGAGUUAAACGCCCAAACUGGCACAAAAGCUGGCGUUUAACUCCAGAAAAAGUCUCUACACAUGAAAGCUUCAAUGCUCAGUCCAAGCACACACCAAGUGGACCCUGGAAGUGGAUUUUUACGUCAUUUACUCAUUUCUGUAUACCCUAGGUUACUAGUUCACUAUUAAUAGGACCUUUUGACAUUGUAUCUUUACCUCAUGACAUUACACGUUUCUUAUUGUAUUUUCUACGACAUGAGUCU